GACGAACGCUGGCGGCGUGCUUAACACAUGCAAGUCGAACGGAAAGGCCCUGCUUUUGUGGGGUGCUCGAGUGGCGAACGGGUGAGUAACACGUGAGUAACCUGCCCUUGACUUUGGGAUAACUUCAGGAAACUGGGGCUAAUACCGGAUAGGAGCUCCUGCUGCAUGGUGGGGGUUGGAAAGUUUCGGCGGUUGGGGAUGGACUCGCGGCUUAUCAGCUUGUUGGUGGGGUAGUGGCUUACCAAGGCUUUGACGGGUAGCCGGCCUGAGAGGGUGACCGGCCACAUUGGGACUGAGAGACGGCCCAGAACCCUACGGGAGGCAGCAGUGGGGAAUAUUGCACAAUGGGCGGAAGCCUGAUGCAGCAACGCCGCGUGCGGGAUGACGGCCUUCGGGUUGUAAACCGCUUUCGCCUGUGACGAAGCGUGAGUGACGGUAAUGGGUAAAGAAGCACCGGCUAACUACGUG
rnacentral:rRNA from 1 species